rnacentral:rRNA from 1 species
AGCUGCAGGCCUUUUCAGUUAGUAAUACAGUAGCUCACCUGAACUGGGACUGAUGAUGGGGCCCACUAUUAAGCUAAGCAGGUGUGAGCCUCCUUAGUACCUGGAUGGGAGACCUCCUGGGAGAGCUAAGGUUGCUGCUGGAA